CACGUAGGGGCCAAGCGUUGUCCGGAUUUAUUGGGCGUAAAGAGCUCGUAGGCGGUGUGUCGCGUCGGCCGUGAAAACCUGCAGCUUAACUGUGGGCUUGCGGUCGAUACGGGCAUCACUGGAGUUCGGCAGGGGAGACUGGAAUUCCUGGUGUAGCGGUGAAAUGCGCAGAUAUCAGGAGGAACACCGGUGGCGAAGGCGGGUCUCUGGACAGUUCCUGACGCUGAGGCACGAAGGCCAGGGGAGCAAACGGG
rnacentral:rRNA from 1 species